UCUUCACUGGGCUGCAUUUUGGAUCAUGUAAUGGAAUGAUACCUGAUUGCCCCAAGAAAAGACCCCUGCACGCUGGAAAAAUGACACAUCAGACUCAAGACCCUCCUUGCAGAAUUUGGAGGAGAAUUUUCAUUCAAGUGAUUACCCCUCAAACAAGGUACUUGCUGAAGCAGAUUAGUCUCUAGUGAGGUUAAAAGAUACACCUGCUUAACAACAAAGCAGAACUUGAUCAUCUUAAUAAAAAAUGAAAAGGCAAUAGAAGACAGGUUGACCUGAUUGACUACUUCCAUGUAAAUACUCUCAUUAUGUGCACUAGAAGACAACUAUAAAGCAACAGAAGGAGAUAAAAUGACCUUUUUCAGAUGAAGCUUAGAAAAAGAUGAGAAGUCAGCAUGAUUAUGCAAAGGAUACAAGGUAUGUCCUAGUGCUACUUUUCACUACCAGCUGACUGGUUGUAUGAGGAGACAUGAUAUGGCAGGCUGAGCAGGCAGGCAAGGAUGUUUGCGCAGCCUCCAGUUUCAGAACAUAAGAAUGACCGUAUCAGAGAAGGCCAGAUGUCUAUUUUCUCAGCCUCUACUAAUCUACACCUUUAAGAUUUCCAGAUGCAAAGCCACUAUUUUUGUGUUCAAGCUCUCAGGGAGUGUGAGGGUCCAUUGAGUGGGUAAUGAACAGCCUGGGAAAAAAUUAUCCCUCCUCCAAAGGAUCAGCAAAGAGGAAGAGUUGAUGAUAAUGGUCCUGAGAAGUGAGGGAGUUGUGCAUGGAUCACUUCCCAGGACUUAAAGGCUGGCUGUGCACUCUGCACCCAGGAAAUGAGCUUAAUCAACACUUGCUCAUAAGGACAGUGAAAAGAUCCUCAUGAUGAUGGUGAGACUGGGGCUCUUUGCUGUUUGUUUUCUGAGGCAAGCAGUUGAGCAUCAACACCCAAGCAAUAUGGUGAGUGGCUGUCUCCACAAGACUGUGUCUGAAAUUGGUGGGAGAAUUACUCCUCCAAGGAAUGAGGACUUGGGCCUUGUGUUGUUUGAUACAAAACUGGCUUGCCAGUCAGCCAAGGGACAGAAGCAAGGCAAAGAAAGUGACAACACUGCAUCAAAACUGUGGGUGACAUUCUUAUGGUAGAAACUUCAAGUGGUGUGGAAUGUGGUCUGUGGGACCUUUUCUCUUGGUGAGAAAAUGAAUGAACUUUACAGCUAGAAGUUUGGUGGUAAAGUAAAUGGUGGUGUAUGAGAUAUUUGAGGCUUAGUAGCCUGUCCAGCAGUUUUGAACAAGCCGGAAAACAUCUUUGUAAAUUCAAUUUGACCAACACAGUUUAGCUCUAAUUGUUUUAUCUGUGCAAGCAAACAGGUUCAUCAUUUUUGAAAAAAUGGAGUGACAUUGCCUGUGGCUGGAUAAGGGAUAUCUCAUGUUAAAUAUCAGUAGUCAAACUUUGCUUUUUAGAAGUUCUUUCAUUUUUGUCUGGUGCAUUUUCAAUUGACACAGCAGAAGUUAUUGCAGUGUUCUAUGUAUAACAAACCAGUGUAUGUGAUUAAGGAGCUUUUAUGUGGUAGGCUAAAAAUCAAGUUGGGAAAUAGAACAAGGACUUCAGCAAUGAUGUGGCAUCUGUAAUAGGAAGUACUCUUCAAAGAGGGGAAUUUGUAUCAGUAUGCCAGUGAAAGGAUCAGAGCUCUCCUAUGGUCCUGCAGAUCCUUGUAAGGAUUGCAGUCAGGUGUUCAGUUUAAUAAUCAACGGUAGUUUAAUUAACUAAAGAUCAGUUAUUUAGCUGUUGGAAUGAUUGUCUCUCAGUGUGUCUGGCUUUGUGAUAACAAGGUGUGCUUGGGGAGGUCUUGACUUUUAAUGUAUACAAAAUGUGGGGUAUUUUUCUUUAAAUAUCUUCUAAACAUAGAAAAUAAGGGAGUGUUAACUGAUAGAAACAUAAAGGGUGACUUUCUGAGCAUACUACUCUGGUUCUCUGGUACCACAAGGGGGAC